AUGGGCAAAUUCAUGAAACCUGGGAAGGUGGUGCUUGUCCUGGCUGGAGGCUACGCUGGACGCAAAGCCAUCAUUGUGAAGAACAAUGAUGAUGGCACCUCAGAUAGCCCCUUCAGCCAUGCUCUGGUGGCUGGAAUUGACCGCUAUCCCCUCAAAGUGACAGCUGCCAUGGGCAAGAAGAAGAUCUCCAAGAGGUCAAAGAUCAAGUCUUUUGUGAAAGUUUAUAACUACAAUCACCUAAUGGCCACAAGGUAUUCUGUGGGUAUCUUAUUCCCUUAGACAAAACUGUCAUCAAUAAGGAUGUCUUUAGAGACCCUGCUCUUAAACGCAAGGCCCCACGAGAAGCCAAGGUCAAGUUUGAAGAGAGAUAUAAGACAGGCAAGAACAAGUGGUUCUUCCAGAAGCUGCGGUUUUAG
rnacentral:lncRNA from 1 species